rnacentral:rRNA from 1 species
AUUGAACGCUGGCGGCAGGCUUAACACAUGCAAGUCGAGCGAGCGGCGGACGGGUGAGUAAUGUCUGGGAAACUGCCUGAUGGAGGGGGAUAACUACUGGAAACGGUAGCUAAUACCGCAUACCAUCAGAUGUGCCCAGCUGGGAUUAGCUAGUAGGGGGGGGAAUGGCUCACCUAGGCGACGAUCCCUAGCUGGUGUGAGAGGAUGACCAGCCAAACUGGAACUGGAAAACGGUCCAGACUCCUACGGGAGGAAGCAGUGGGAAAUUUUGCAAAAUGGGGGCAAGCCUGAGGCGGCCAUGCCGGGUGUGUGAAGAAGGCCUUCGGGUUGUAAAGCACUUUCAGCGAGGAGGCGUUACUCGCAGAAGAAGCACCGGCUAACUCCGUGCCAGCAGCCGCGGUAAUUC